UACGUAGGGUGCAAGCGUUGUCCGGAAUUAUUGGGCGUAAAGAGCUCGUAGGCGGCUUGUCGCGUCGGCUGUGAAAACCCGGGGCUCAACCCCGGGCCUGCAGUCGAUACGGGCAGGCGUAGAGUCCGGUAGGGGAGACUGGAAUUCCUGGUGUAGCGGUGAAAUGCGCAGAUAUCAGGAGGAACACCGGUGGCGAAGGCGGGUCUCUGGGCCGGAACCGACGCUAAGGAGCGAAAGCGUGGGGAGCGAACAGG
rnacentral:rRNA from 1 species